GACGAACGCUGGCGGCGUGCUUAACACAUGCAAGUCGAACGAUGAAGCGGCCAGCUUGCUGGUGGUGGAUUAGUGGCGAACGGGUGAGUAACACGUGAGUAACCUGUCCUUCACUCUGGGAUAAGCCCUGGAAACGGGGUCUAAUACUAGAUAUUCUCAAUGUGCCGCAUGGUGUGUUGUGGAAAGAUUUUUUGGUGAGGGUUGGACUCGCGGCCUAUCAGCUUGUUGGUGGGGUAGUGGCCUACCAAGGCUUUGACGGGUAGCCGGCCUGAGAGGGUGACCGGCCACACUGGGACUGAGACACGGCCCAGACUCCUACGGGAGGCAGCAGUGGGGAAUCUUGCGCAAUGGGCGGAAGCCUGACGCAGCAACGCCGCGUGAGGGAUGACGGCCUUCGGGUUGUAAACCUCUUUCGCGAUCGACGAAGGCCCACCUUGUUGGGGGGUUGACGGUAGGUCGAGAAGAAGCACCGGCCAACUACGUGCCAGCAGCCGCCGUAAUAC
rnacentral:rRNA from 1 species